UAGGGCAACUAACUGUUCCAGUUUGUCCAGAGCUUCCCUGGUUUUAGGACUGAAAGUCUGUGUCCUGGGAAUCCCCUCAGUCUCAGGUAAACUGGGGUGGUUGGUCACCCUACCCAGAG
rnacentral:miRNA from 1 species